AAAUAUUUAUUCUGUUAAAAAUGUGUGUAUCCGAUUUAGGUAAAUCUAUAUUUCUACAUUUCUCCCCAAACCAGCUCUAAUCGGUGGAUAGCGAGUCAGAUUUUACUUCUGGUUUCACUGGGAGGUAGUGCAAAACACUCCUGUAGUAGAAAACGAGUCGACCAAUGGAGGAAGAUACAGUAAAGAAUGAGGACGAGGAAUUUAACACUGGACCAGUCUGUUCUGAUGAUGAGUGUUAAAGAUAACACUCAGGUAAUGUGCCCAUCUUUUGAUUCCCUGGCAUCAUCAAUAACUACAUGUUGGUUGAUAGUGAGAAACAGCUAUGCAGUGAGAUCAGAAUACUGCCUGCACAUUCUCUCUCAAUGUUGCAAACCUUAUCAAUUGAGAUUAUGAAGGGAAAUAUUAGCAAGAAAUCUGAUGCUCGCAACCUGCUUAAAGUUGAAGCAAGCAAGGUGGAUAAAGUCUAUGAUAUGUUGGUGAAAAAGGGGUUGUCCAAUUUUGAUCAAAAUUCAGCAUCUCCAUUGUUGUAGAUUGAAAUUGUACAGAUCUAUUAACAUAGGUAAACACGCUAAUUGUAUUGUUCAUUAAUGAUACAAUUUAUCAU